GAUGAGGAACGUAGCGAAAUGCGAUAAGUAAUGUGAAUUGCAGAAUCCAGUGAAUCAUCGAAUCUUUGAACGCACAUUGCGCCCGCCAGCAUUCUGGCGGGCAUGCCUGUUCGAGCGUCAUUUCAACCCUCGACCUCCCCUUGGGGAGGUCGGCGUUGGGGACCGGCAGCACACCGCCGGCCCUGAAAUGGAGUGGCGGCCCGUCUGCGGCGACCUCUGCGUAGUAAUACAGCUCGCACCGGAACCCCGACGCGGCCACGCCGUAAAACACCCAACUUCUGAACGUUGACCUCGAAUCAGGUAGGACUACCCGCUGAACUUAAGCAUAUCAAUAAGCGGAGGA
rnacentral:misc_RNA from 1 species